GAUGAACGCUGGCGGCGUGCUUAACACAUGCAAGUCGAACGGGAAACCUUUUAUUGAAGCUUCGGCAGAUUUAGCUGGUUUCUAGUGGCGGCCGGGUGAGUAACGCGUGGGUAACCUGCCUUCUACAGGGGGCUAACAACCAGAAAUGGUUGCUACUACCGCAUAAGCGCACAGGACCGCAUGGUCCGGUGGGAAGCACUCCGGUGGUAUAAGAUGGACCCGCGUUGGAUUAGCUAGUUGGCAGGGUAACGGCCUACCAAGGCGACGAUCCAUGGCCGGCCUGAGAGGGUGAACGGCCACAUUGGGACUGAGACACGGCCCAGACUCCUACGGGAGGGAGCAGUGGGGAAUAUUGCACAAUGGGGGAAACCCUGAUGCAGCGACGCCGCGGGAAGGAAGAAGUAGCUCGGUAUGUAAACUUCUAUCAGCAGGGAAGAUAGUGACGGUACCUGACUAAGAAGCACCGGCUAACUACGUG
rnacentral:rRNA from 1 species